ACGGGCCUUAAAGGGGUAGCAAUACUUUUUUAAGGUUAGUGGCGGACGGGUGAGUAACACGUAGGUAACCUACCCUUCGGCGGGGGAUAAUCCCGCGAAAGCGGGACUAAUACCGCAUACAUCCACUGGCUGGGAUGCUGGUGGGGAAAGUGGUAACACACCGAAGGAUGGGCCUGCGGCCUAUCAGGUAGUUGGUGGGGUAAGGGCCCACCAAGCCGAAGACGGGUAGCCGGGCUGAGAGGUUGAACGGCCACACUGGAACUGAGACACGGUCCAGACUCCUACGGGAGGCAGCAGUGGGGAAUCUUGCGCAAUGGGGGAAACCCUGACGCAGCGACGCCGCGUGGAGGAUGAAGGUCUUCGGGUUGUAAACUCCUUUUCUUGGGGAAAAUGAUGAUGGUACUCAAGGAAUAAGCCACGGCUAACUCUGUGCCAGCAGCCGCGGUAAGACAGAGGUGGCGAGCGUUGUUCGGAAUUACUGGGCUUAAAGGGCGAGUAGGCGUCCCGGUAAGUCAGCUGUGGAAUCUUUUUGCUUAACGAAAAAAUUGCAUCUGAAACUACCGGGAUUGAGUCAGUGAGGGGAGGGCGGAAUUCCUGGUGUAGCGGUGAAAUGCGUAGAUAUCAGGAGGAAGGCCUGUGGCGA
rnacentral:rRNA from 1 species